rnacentral:rRNA from 1 species
UACGGGGGGGUGCGAGCGUUGUCCGGAAUCACUGGGCGUAAAGGGCGCGUAGGUGGUUUGAUAAGGCUGUGGUGAAAGCCCGGGGGCUCAACCCCCGGGGUCUGCCCGUGGCGACUGUCAGACUGGAGGGCUCGAGAGGCAGACGGAAUUCCGGGUGUAGCGGUGGAAUGCGUAGAGAUCCGGGAAGAAGACCGGUGGCGAAGGCGGUCUGCUGGCGAGUACCUGACACUGAUGCGCGACAGCGUGGGGGGAGCAAAACAGGGAUUAGAAAACCCCCAGUA